CGAUGAUACGCGUAGGAACCUUACCUGGGCUUAAAUGUAGAGUGCUAUUUUAGAGAUAGAAAUUCCCUUCGGGGCUUUCUGCAAGGUGCUGCAUGGUUGUCGUCAGCUCGUGCCGUGAGGUGUCGGUUAAGUCCCAUAACGAGCGCAACCCUUAUCCAUUAGUUGCCAGCUGGUAAAGCAGGGGACUCUAGCGAAACUGCCACCGUAAGGUGAGAGGAAGGUGGGAUGACGUCAAAUCAGCACGGCCCUUAUGUCCAGGGCUACACACGUGUUACAAUGGCCGGCACAGAGGGCAGCUACCUGGUGACAGGAUGCUAAUCUCGAAAAACCGGUCUCAGUUCGGAUCGAAGUCUGCAACUCGACUUCGUGAAGCUGGAUUCGCUAGUAAUCGCGCAUCAGCCAUGGCGCGGUGAAUACGUUCCCGGGCCUU
rnacentral:rRNA from 1 species